rnacentral:rRNA from 1 species
UACGUAGGGUGCGAGCGUUAAUCGGAAUUACUGGGCGUAAAGCGUGCGCAGGCGGUUUUAUAAGCCAGAUGUGAAAGCCCCGGGCUCAACCUGGGAAUGGCAUUUGGGACUGUAAGGCUGGAGUAUGGCAGAGGGGACUAGAAUUCCUGGUGUAGCAGUGAAAUGCGUAGAUAUCUGGAGGAACACCGGUGGCGAAGGCGGCAUCCUGGACCGGCAUUGACGCUGAGGCGCGAAAGCCAGGGGAGCAAACGGG